CUGUAAAGAUGGCGGCUAGAAGGAGCGCGAUAGUCAAAACUGAUAUAUUUGACCCUGAAUCUGAGGUUGAAGAGGGAGAAGAGCAGCAAGAAGAACAAGAGGAAGUAGUGCGAAUGCAGCAAGAAGUUUCUGAAUGGUGCUCAUGUGGAAACUGUGCAACAAUGCCUACAGAGCAGGAGAAUGUCUGCUGCCGGGAAAUACCACAGGUCCUAAGACGGAUGCAGCAGGUAGAUGACCAUAUGACCUGCAUGUUGGACCACCCUGGUUUAGAGCCUGUUUGCUUGAAUCCCUACUGUUGAUAGAGGGAAUUCAACCACUAUAGAGCAAAUUAUGGCUGUUUACAGAGCAGGGGAAUAGAGAAGCGUUUCAGGUAUGUGGGAUAUCAAAGCUUUGUUGGAUGGCAUUGGGGCUUCCUUGGACGGAGGGUAUGGGUGGUUGUUCCAGCAUGUGUGGGUCUUCGUAUAUGCCGUGAAUUUCCGGAUCCAGAAGGCAGAUAC